GCUACUCGGACAAAUCAAAAAAUUACACACCUCUUCGUGGUAAGCAGCAGACAACGAUUUUAUGAUCGGCGAAGAUGUGAGA
rnacentral:ribozyme from 1 species